CUUUGCUGAGACUGGUAGAUGAAAUGCCUUUCAGGGAGACCUUUCUGAAGGGCUGCAGUGUAGCCUUGGUGAAGCAUGCCUUUUCAAGCACCAACUGUCAUCAAUCCAUUUCAGAGGAUGCUCACUCCACAAGUACUCUUUAGUGUGUGAUCACCGGGAAGCCUCCCACUCAGCUCUCCACAAGGGCACACACUGCCAUAUUCCCUUCACGGUCAGGCAUCAGGGUGCCAAGAAGACUGACCAGUUCCCUCCACUUCUCUCCCUGUUCCUCCAGGCUUCAGGAAGGAGAAAGCGGUACCUGAACAGAUGUCACGCUGAUUCCAUGACAAAUGUCAUCAAUGAAAAGAAUUCUGUGUGUGCAUGCGUGUAUGACAAGAUCUCCACGUAACAAAAGCCGUCAUUGUCCGGAGCUCUCCUGCAUGCCCGUAUAUCAGAAUCCCCAGAGGAGAUGCCAGCGUUUGACUCAGCAGAAAGAUUGAUCCCUGCUGCUGGAUCCUCCCCUUUGGAAUAACGUUCCAGACGGUUUGUGCUACCACUCCCUCUGCUG